rnacentral:rRNA from 1 species
UGGGGAAUAUUGGACAAUGGGCGCAAGCCUGAUCCAGCCAUGCCGCGUGAGUGACGAAGGUCUUCGGAUUGUAAAGCUCUUUUUGGCGGGGACGAUAAUGACGGUACCCGCAGAAUAAGCCCCGGCUAACUUCGUGCCAGCAGCCGCGGUAAUACGAAGGGGGCUAGCGUUGUUCGGAAUUACUGGGCGUAAAGCGCACGUAGGCGGACUGAUAAGUCAGGGGUGAAAUCCCGGGGCUCAACCUCGGAACUGCCUUUGAUACUGUUAGUCUCGAGUCCGGAAGAGGUGAGUGGAAUUCCUAGUGUAGAGGUGAAAUUCGUAGAUAUUAGAAGGAACACCGGUGGCGAAAGCGGCUCACUGGACCAUUACUGACGCUGAGGUGCGAAAGCUAGGGGAGCAAACGGGAUUAGAUACCCUAGUAGUCCCUGAGCGGGCUGGCAAGGCGCAU